UGAGACAGGGACAGGUGAGACAGGGCCAUGGGCAGCAUCUGCGUGGUGGUCACCUCCUGGCCACACACCUUGGACAGCACCUGCGCAGGUGAGACACAGGUGAGACACAGGUGAGAGACAGGUGAGAUACAGGUGUAAUAUGGACAGGUGAGACAUGUGAUACAGGUGAGACACAGGUGUGACAGGUGAGACAGGUGAGAUAUGGACAGGUGAGAUGGGACAGGUGAGAUAUAGACAGGUGUGAUAGGGACAGGUGAGACAGGUGAGACAUGGACAGGGAUUGGGGACAUCCAUUGCUCAUGCCCAGGUGUGCCCAGGUGUGUUCCUAUUCCUCUCAGGUGUGCUGUGUCUGUGCCCAGGUGUGCCCAGGUGUGUUCCUAUUCCUCUCAGGUGUACCCAGGUGUGCCCAGGUGUGUUCCUAUCCCCCUCAGGUGUGCCCAGGUGUACCCAGGUGUGUUCCUAUUCCUCCCAGGUGUACCCAGGUGUGUUCCUAUCCCUCUCAGCUGUGCCCAGGUGUGCUGUGGCUGUGCCCAGGUGUGCCCAGGUGUGUUCCUAUCCCUCUCAGGUGUGCCCAGGUCUGUUCCUAUCCCUCUCAGCUGUGCCCAGGUGUGCUGUGGCUGUGCCCAGGUGUGCCC